GGAGAAGGUGGCGCACGAUACUUUGAUGAAAAUAGUGCUCACGACCUCAUUCAUCAGGGAGACAAAGCAACUUGGGGAAUCACUUCUCUUGUGAAGAACCGCAAUGAAUUUUUUAUUGACAAUGGCAAAUUAGCGAAUCUCGAACUAAGUUAUUUUGUAAGCGCCUGCUCAAAUUAUUUAGUUUCGCAUGCUGAAAGAGAUUUUCUUGUUGAGUCAUACAGUCCAUACAGAUUCGCGCGGUAAUGCGGAUUUUAUCAAAUUCCUCCACAGGAACUCGGGGCAGAUGUUCGUUCCACGAAUCAUGACUUGAGUCGAAUACUCUGACGCACGGCCAUUCGCAGUAAAACAGAGUCAAAGGUACUUUUUCCUAACUAUCCCUUGAACGCUAA
rnacentral:lncRNA from 1 species